CCUACGGGUGGCAGCAGUGGGGAAUAUUGGACAAUGGGCGAAAGCCUGAUCCAGCCAUGCCGCGUGUGUGAAGAAGGCCUUCGGGUUGUAAAGCACUUUCAGUGGGGAAGAAAGCCUUGGGGCUAAUACCCUCGAGGAAGGACAUCACCCACAGAAGAAGCACCGGCUAACUCCGUGCCAGCAGCCGCGGUAAUACGGAGGGUGCGAGCGUUAAUCGGAAUUACUGGGCGUAAAGCGCGCGUAGGCGGUCUGAUAAGCCGGUUGUGAAAGCCCCGGGCUCAACCUGGGAACGGCAUCCGGAACUGUCAGGCUAGAGUGCAGGAGAGGAAGGUAGAAUUCCCGGUGUAGCGGUGAAAUGCGUAGAGAUCGGGAGGAAUACCAGUGGCGAAGGCGGCCUUCUGGACUGACACUGACGCUGAGGUGCGAAAGCGUGGGUAGCAAACAGAAUUAGAUACCCGAGUAGUC
rnacentral:rRNA from 1 species